GCCCCGGUGGCUCAGUGGCGAGUGUCAUGGGUGGCUCAGGAGCACUUGCUCCUCGGGUCGCAGGUUCGAAUCCUGCAACGGGUA